CCUACGGGCCGCACCAGUGGGGAAUAUUGCACAAUGGGCGCAAGCCUGAUACAGCCAUGCCGCGUGUAUGAAGAAGGCCUUCGGGUUGUAAAGUACUUUCAGCGAGGAGGAAGGCAUUAAGGUUAAUAACCUUGAUGAUUGACGUUACUCGCAGAAGAAGCACCGGCUAACUCCGUGCCAGCAGCCGCGGUAAUACGGAGGGUGCAAGCGUUAAUCGGAACUACUGGCGUAAAGCGCACGCAGGCGGCCUGUCAAGUCGGAUGUGAAAUCCCCGGGCUCAACCUGGGAACUGCAUCCGAAACUGGCAGGCUAGAGUCUUGUAGAGGGGGGUAGAAUUCCAGGUGUAGCGGUGAAAUGCGUAGAGAUCUGGAGGAAUACCGGUGGCGAAGGCGGCCCCCUGGACAAAGACUGACGCUCAGGUGCGAAAGCGUGGGGAGCAAACAGGAUUAGAUACCCCAGUAGUC
rnacentral:rRNA from 1 species